UGGGAGCGCGCCUCACCCCAGCUUCUUGCUCCAGGUCUCUGAGUCCCCGACCCAGAGAGUUGAGAACAGAUUGUUGUUCUUCAACAGCCGCCUUCCUCACCAACUUUGAGCCCAUUCUGGAAAAUAGAAAGCUUCAAGCCUGCCAGAGACGACCGGUAUGAAACCUGAAGGUUGGUGGGAGGGUACUUCCUCCGCCGCCUUUUUUUUCCUAGAAGAACUCCAAGAUUAAAAGUAUCCUUAUUUGUUGCCGAGUGGCUCGUCGACAUAAAAGAGAAGGUUUUGCAAGAAGAAACUCUGCCAUUCUGUAGGCAGGUGGCUCCCUGCUCUGCUGUUUUGGACCUUCAAUCACUAGUGACAUGCUUGCAAUCCACAAAGUCCUGGGUGUCUCCUUCAGCUAUCAUCAUCUGAAAGACAUCUAAAAGGGUUUUUGAGUGCUUGAGAGCAUUAGGUUUCAUUUCUUGCAUUCCACAAUGUAAGUGGAAAAGUUGAUCCACACUGACAUGAAGGGCUCAAUUCUGCAUGAACUUUUUGUUUUUCCACCAGAAAUAAUCCUUCUUUUUUCCCCAUUUUUUGUGUAAGGCUCAAGUUUAUUUAAAAAUCAUUGACUCUUUCCUAGAGACAGAGAGCCCUGCAAAUCUAAACUCAUGCCAAUGAAACUGACAUCAACUAGCAAAAGCAUGGCUAUUUUUAUUAAUAAUACUAGAGACACUUUUGCACAAUGACUAAACUUGCUAAGCCGCAAAAUAGGGAGAGAGUGCACUGAGAUCAACAAGAGGCCAUCAUCAACGGCUCCAGUUGUUUUUCAAUAGACUUGCUAUCCUUUUAAAAGAGUAUCAUUUCAAUAAAACAAUCCACAAAUAAAUACAAAACAAAAGGGCAAAUGUAGAGACAUAUUGCAAGUAAGCAUGCAUACCAAAAAGGUAAGUGCAAAUUAGAUUUGAAUAUUCAUGAGUCACAAAUCAUUGACAGUUUGAAAUAAUGCAAAACAGCUUUAUAAAUGAGGUUAAGGCAAGGGACAUCAAAGAAAUGCAUCGCUAAAUCAAUAGCAGUUUGUGCAUACACUUGUAAAUUGCGGUUACAAUUUUUGUGACAUGAGAGAAAAAAUACUGUGUAUCCGAUGAAGGAGGAAGACAUAUAAAUAUUCCCUUUGUAUAUUGUAGUUUUGCAAUUUGUCAUGCACUUGGAGACCAGCCAGGUAGAGAGUGGUUGGACAUAAUAUUUCCCUCCAAAGACAGAGUUCCCUUUUCAGAAACAGAGUUUCAGGCUUAUGCCCAGAGCUCUUGCUUACUCCGCUAAACAGAAUUCAUCAUGCGAUGAUUCCUGUAACUGCUGCCUUCUGAAAUAAAGAUCGGCAUUUAGCACAUAGGACUUUAGAGGAUGUCUCAAUCUUAAAUCUCUUCAUAACAAAAUAAAUUCCACUGCAGACCAUAUAGUCUUUGUGGAUGUUUCUCUAUUUAGAAACUAACAGGUGAAUUCAAAGUAUAAGAACCAUUUACAAUACUUUCAAAUGAUCGGAGAUGUAAAAUAUAGGUAACCUGGUAAUUUAAAUCAAAGUGUUUUCAUUUUUGCUCAGCAAGUUCCUAGUCAUUGAUUUGACAAUGUUUUUGUAUUUUUGUUUUUUUUUUUUUUUGGUGCCAGUAGCCUUUUGGGGGGUGUGUGUGUGUGUACACACGUGCUGUGAAUGUACGGAGAGAUAUUUGAAAUGGUAGGACUUAGAAAUGAAAGACUUGUUUAGGGCUUAUCUAAAAGUACAAAUAUUUCCAAUUAAAUUCAUAAGUUUAUAUGUGGAGUACUAUCUGUACAUUAUGAGGUAUUACUCUAAGACAUCCCUUUACAGGCCUUUUUAUUGUGUUUUGUGUCUGCUUUCUUGGAGAAGAGAAGUUGGUGAUACCAUAUGAAAAUUGUGGCACAUAGUAGGACUAAUUUUGGAAGAGGCUGGGGAGUUGUGGUCUGUUUAGACAAUUCAUCUAUAUCUUCAUGCUGGACUAUGCUUUCAAGGCAGACGUUUAGAUUUGGGUGGUAAAAUCCAGAUCAGGCAUACCUAGAAAGAGAGUCCUGCAUUGCCUCCACCUCCCGUCUCCCUUAGGAAAGAAGCCAAGAUGACGUCUGUGCUGUUAACAAUCAAGAAUAUCUGCCAGGCACGGUGGCUCACAUCUGUAAUCCUAGCACUCUGGGAGGCUGAGGCAGAUGGAUUGCCUGAGCUCAGGAGUUCAAGACCAGCGUGAGCAAGAGUGAGACCCUGCAUUUAAAAAAAAAAAAAGCCAGGCAUUCUGGUGGGCGUCUGUAGUCCCAGCAACUCAGGAGGCUGAGGCAAGAGGAUCGUUUAAGCCCAAGAGUUGAGGCUGCUGUGAACUAUGACGCCAUAGCAUAGUUCUACUAAGGGUGACAAAGUGAGAUUCUGUCUUAAAAAAUACAUAUAUAAAAACAAAAAACCGGAGUAUCUAUAAAUUCCAAAGCAAUGGGCUAGGUGGUAAUUUUAAGGUCUUUACAUGAAGUCAAUAAUUAUAAUUUAUCAGCAUUGAUUCAGGUUACAUUUAGUGUUUAUAUUUGUAAGCCAUAUCUUAUUAUUUUUGUUCCAUAGCUAAACAUUUCUUAACUCUCAACAGUGAUUAACUUAUGUGACAUUAAUAAGCAAGUAUUUCUAUUAUUCCUUCCAGGAAAUGUUUUAUCAUGAUAUACUAUAAGCUAUUUACAUUAUCCAAACUUCUUUUAAAUAGUUUAACCACAAUAUUUGAAUUAAUGAUUGCUAUUACCAGGAUUCUAUAUAGGCAAACACUGUUUUUUCCCUCUAAAUUCAUUUUCAUUAAGUCACAGUUACUAAACUUUUCUGAUAAGAAGGGUCAUUUACAACACCUAUAUAUGAAAGAUUUUGAUUAAGUCUUUUAUCUGUGUGUGUAUCUAUCUCUCUAUACAUAGCUUUAAAAAUAAUCUGUAAGUUAAAACAUAACAUGUUAGACAUAAAUAUUAUCAUUCUCUUUCUUUACAAUCUAUGAGAUGAGAGAAAAGUUGUUUUAGUUUUCUAUGUCUUUUUAUACUGGAGGGGAUAUUAUAUUGAACUUUGAUUUCUAUGGCAGGAAAGUGCCUGACUAGCCAGUGCUAUCACUGAGAUAAAUUUUUUUUAACCAUCCCCCUUGUCUGCAUCAACAAGUUAGAGAAUCUGAGAGCUGUCAUUUCUGGUAAUUCAAUAUCAAAAUGAAAGUAAGAUAGAAUAAAAUAAAAGACUUAGCAUUGAUUCUGAAUUACUUAAGAAUGAAUUGUUGAAUUCCAAAGAAGUCUUGUCUUAUCAUGAAAAAGAAACAGUCUCUUUGGGAGACCCUUGGACCUCAUGCUCAUUUUGCUAUGUAAAUAGAAUUAAUUUUAUUUAUUUAUUUAUUAUUAUUAUUAUUUUUUUUUUGUAGAGACAGAGUCUCACUUUAUGGCCCUCGGUAGAGUUCCAUGGCAUCACACAGCUCACAGCAACCUCCAACUCCUGGGAUUAAGCGAUUCUCUUGCCUCAGCCUCCCGAGUAGCUGGGACUACAGGCACCCGCCACAACGCCCAGCUGUUUUUUGGUUGCAGUUCAGCCGGGACCGGGUUUGAACCCACCACCUUCAGUAUAUGGGGCCGGCGCCUUACUGACUGAGCCACAGGCACCGCCCAGAAUUAAUUUUAUUUUGAAAGAACAGUGGAGUGGUGGUAAAGGAACUUCUAUUUGCUAUUCUGCAAUGACUUCGGCUAUGAACUUGCACAAAGUACUUCAAAUUCUUUGGAUCUCUGGCUCCUCAAUUAUAAAAGAGGAGGUGGGUGUAGAAGUAGCAAUUUUUCAAACUGUGCCUUUGAAUCCCCAGGGCUGCAAGGAACCAGCAAGAGUCUUGAUGAGGGAUAGAAGACCAGCUGGUGGAACUCAGAACAAAGAUGGUCUUUUUCUCUGGUUUGUACAUUGAUCUUAGAAAAAUUCAAUUUGGGGAAAGAGAAAAGACUUAAAAAGUUUGAAAACUAUUACAUUGAAAAAGAUUUCUUUUGGUUUGAUCAUUCUAAUCUGCAACCUAUCUUAUUCAUAACAGGUCUAGUGAAUAUUGGAGUGACAAGAAUUGUCAUGUUCUUGGCUUCUCCUUUUAAGUCAAGGUAGUAAAAAGAAUUUCUAAAUCACAUAGAAGGGAGGCCUAGAAAUGACAAACCAGAUGGUGAAAUCUCAGUAAAAUUUUAAACGAGCUUAUAUGUGAUAUCAAGACCACUAGAUAACACGAUAUCCACACCUCUUGGCCAGGCCUGAUCUUGCCUGGGACCACAAUGCUCACAAUUCCAGAGGGCACCAACGUAUUAUAGUUCAACUGAAUGAUACCCUUUUAAUGAUGUUGAGCAAAGAAUCACUAAUGUUGCCAUCCCAGGUGUGGCUUCUUUUUCAUUUUGCCAAUAGCUACUUCUCUUUCAAAGCCUACUUCAGAGAUCCUAGAGUGGUCCACACCAUGUUACUAAUUCCUUUCUUCAAGAAUUAAUUGCUCUUCCUCUGUGAUUCAGGGUGUUUUGUUUCAACCUUAUCUCGAAUUCAUAGGUCCUUGUAUUAUAGUUGAUUGGGCCUGUCUCCCUUGUUAAGUCAUGAGUUUUUAAAAGGCAAGAGGUGAAUCCAAUAUACAUACUCAAGUCUAAUAUGAAGCCAGUAGAUGAUCUAAUUAAUACACACCCACAUAAGAGAAAAUCUCAAAUCAAUUAAAGGUGGG